rnacentral:rRNA from 1 species
AUGGCUACCAUGGAUAUGAGGAAAUUGAUAAACUUGUUGGAUAAAUGUGCAUUUGUGUUGUGUUCCUCAUAUCCAGUUUCUUGCAGAAGUUGUAAUGGUAAGAUCCACCUUAAAUUCCAGUGUGCAGAUGCUCAUGACGAGAUCAUUGCAUCUUACAACAAUGGUCGUGAGAGUGAUGACACUAAGGAAACAUUACAAUAUGUUUUAUGCAUAAGUGCCUGGAUGUUACUUAGUGAAGUUAAUCAAGAAGAGUCAAGUCCAACUACACACCGGGUGGAUAUCCCUUGGGAUCUGGUGGAUUUAUGGAGCAUAAAAGCCCAACUAUAUUGCUCUAAAGAAAGCACUAUCGGGAGGCAGCCCAAAAGUAAGUAG